rnacentral:rRNA from 1 species
GACGAACGCUGGCGGCGUGCUUAACACAUGCAAGUCGUACGGUAAGGCCCUUUCGGGGGUCCACGAGUGGCGAACGGGUGAGUAACACGUGAGUAACCUGCCCACAACUUUGGGAUAACGCUAGGAAACUGGUGCUAAUACUGGAUAUGUGCUCCUGCUGCAUGGUGGGGGUUGGAAAGCUCCGGCGGUUGUGGAUGGACUCGCGGCCUAUCAGCUUGUUGGUGGGGUAGUGGCCUACCAAGGCGGCGACGGGUAGCCGGCCUGAGAGGGUGACCGGCCACAUUGGGACUGAGAUACGGCCCAGACUCCUACGGGAGGCAGCAGUGGGGAAUCUUGCACAAUGGGCGCAAGCCUGAUGCAGCAACGCCGCGUGCGGGAUGACGGCCUUCGGGUUGUAAACCGCUUUCAGCAGGGACGAAGCUUUUUGUGACGGUACCUGCAGAAGAAGCACCGGCUAACUACGUG